rnacentral:rRNA from 1 species
AAUGCGAUACUUGGUGUGAAUUGCAGAAUCCCGUGAACCAUCGAGUUUUUGAACGCAAGUUGCGCCCGAGGCCACCCGGCCGAGGGCACGCCUGCCUGGGCGUCACGCCUCUUGUCGCUCUGCCUGCCUCGCCCUGAGCGCAUCGAGCUCUUGCGGCGGUGGGCGGCGGAUGC